AUCCUCAAUACUUGUGAUCGCAUAUAUUUAAAAAAAUGGCAAGAAUUUUAUUUUUGGUAGUAGCUUUGGUGGCGGCGUCUGAUCUGAUGGUGCAGCCAGGACAGGCCCUGAAAUGUAGCGAUCUCGAGGUCCAGCAGACAGGAACAGACUGCAAUCCUUAUACCAGAGGUGAUGAGGCAGAGCCAUCUAGCAAGUGCUGCAAUGCCUAUAAAUCAUUACGUCUCCGAGCCAAGACCAGAGAGGAGAGGAGGCAAUUUUGUUUCUGCGUCCAUGAAGCAACUUCUCAGAACAGAUUCCUCCGCGGUUCUGCAACUAAUCCUGCUACUCGAAUCCCAAGAAUCGAUUCCCUCCCGGAGAAAUGUGGAUUUCCAUUCCUUUUCUCCGCUGAUCCUAAAUUCGACUGUAACAACAGAAUAAAUUGAUGUCAUUUCCUUGAGUGGAAAAGCUGGGGGACAAAUUUAAAUGGUGUUGCUAAGAUUAUCAACGUAUGCAUGCGUGCAUCAUGAAUAAAGAGAUGAUUAUAUGUACUGGAUGGAUUUUGUAUUUACACUUCUUAUUAAAUAAAAUAAAAUGCAACUCCACUUGAUAUGCAA